rnacentral:ribozyme from 1 species
UUGCGUUGACCUUGCUGACAAUAGGCUCUCAAAGUUUGUGGCUGAGAAAGAGGACUCGCUACUUCAGGGGCUGGACCGCAUCCACAACUUGGAAGAAAUUGUAGCCCACACCAGGAGGCACUGUCAAGAAGGACAA